AUAGAGCAGUAAGGAUUUAUCGUCGAAAUAGUUUGUUAAUUCUAUGUAAAGAUCGAUUGGUUAAUUAAUUUCUCGUCUUUACAAUUUAUAAUUUAUGAAAGCUAUAAUAUUGUAACAUCUUGAAUAAAAGUAUUUUUUUUUAUUUUUACAAGCCAUAAAAGAAGAUAGAACAAAUGCUGAAGAAAAUUAUACUUUAUUGAAGGAUAUUAUUGAAAAUCAAGUAAAAUGCAAAAAAAUAUUGGCCAUCAAAAGAAUGUUGAUGUGAUGUUGAUAUGAAAGUGUAGGUAAAUGGUUCUUGAUUUUAUAAUUUUAUAAAUUCUGCGACUUAUAAAAUAUAAAAAUCGUAAACGUCAUUUUUUUGCAAUUCAACGCAAAAAAUAUUUAUUUUAUACACAGGAUAAGAUAAUUUUUGGUAGAAUAUUGGAAUAAAAAAGAAAUUAGAAUAGAAAUUCCAGAUUAUUGGAUGAAUAAUCGUUGAAUUCUUAUUGAUAUAUAGUGCACAAAAGCUGUAAAUUAAAUGGCACGAUUAAUAUUCGAAAAUUUUUUAAAAAGAAUGGAUUAUUUAUGAGGUAAUGGACGAAAGAAAUAGCGAAUGAAUCUUCCUUAGUUCCAAUUAAGAUUGCAAGCGGAAAGGAGAAUCGUUUUAAUUGCAUAUGAUCGAGUUGAUUAAGCUUUCACAAUAAUUAUGUGCCGAGAUAAUCCUUGACGAUAAUUUUUAGUACGCUUUUGUCUUCAUCGUCAGAUUAAAACAAAGUUGAAGUUGUGCGAAAGAAGGACAAACCAAAAGGAGAAGAUUGAAACUUAUAUAUUUUUAACAAAAGAAUAGAAAAUGUAAAAUCCAUAUGAAAGAUAGUCAUCGAAUUAAAGGAAUUAUUCGUAUAUUUUCUUCUCGCUUGGAAAUUCGAAUCCUCGUUAAAAUAGUUUAGUUGAAUAGUUUCGUCUAAAUCGACGAGCAGAGACAACGAAAGUGAAACGAAAUCCAUCAACAUUGAAAUAACAAAGAAAGAAAUAAACUCGAAAUUCUUAUGAGAUAAAUCGAAUGAGAUUAACGAGGCAAUUUUCACUUGUCCGUGAAGUUACGUUCGCACCUUUCGCUCACGAUACCAAUCACCGAGUCCACAAGUGGUAAUACGUCCGCUUGGUGCGCUCCUUCGUUCGCAUUGCCCUUUUCACGGCCAGGAUCAAGAUCGAGAAUGAGCUAUGGCCUUCUGUUCCCGAUCGUGGAUACCAUUCGAAUGCGGAAACGGAAAACGCUCCCUUUACACCUAUCAUCGUUUCUUUCUUUUUCUCACUCUUCUUUUCGAAUCUUCGUAUUUUUUUAAGAAUCUAUGAAAGAAAUUAGAGAAACUGAACGCUCAGAAAUUGGAAAAAAUAUCGAAAUUUUUGUUAUUAUUUUUGCGAUUUAGAAAUGUGAAUUAAUUAUUAAUUUUAGAGAAUUAUAGACAUUUGGAAAUUCUCUUGAAAUUCAAACAAAGAGUAAUUUAUAUUUUUGAAGAAUUUUAGAAAUUUACAAUUCUCUUGAAAUUCAGAGAAAGAGUAAUUUAUUAUAUUUUUGGAAAAUUUUAGAACUCUGAAAUUCGGAGGAAUUUAUAUUUUUGGAGAAUUUCAGAUUUUAUUAAGAUUUUUGCUCUUUUAUAGAACCGACAUUACUUGAAAGAAAAGAAAAACUAAAACUUUAAAUUUCGAAAAUUUUGAGAUUUAAGAAAAUUUUUAUAUUUUCUACGAUUAUUACAAACGUGAAAAAUUCACGUUUCUCUUGGCUAUUAUUUUGUAAGCGAACAUAAUUCUUGAGAUGUCUCCAAUACACGACGUGACUUCCUUGUAGUCAAGUUUGGUAUCUAAAGGAUGUUUUAUGGUGUGUCCCUUCGCAACGAAACCUCGUAAAUAUAUCUUAAUUAUGGCAUUCUCAGUUUAAUUACUAUUAAUAUCAUUUUUUUUCAUCACGUAUUAUAAAUUCAAAGAAAAAUUCAUUUUCUUUUCAUUUUUAAACUAUAUAGAAAUAUUUAUAAUUAUGAAUUAUAGAUAUUUAAUAAUCCAUUUUUGAACAUAAUUAAGAAAGUUUUUUCGUCCGAUUGAUUGUCUGAGAAACGAACAAUUAUUAUAAACUAUGUCAUUGAAAUUCAUUUUUGAAAAGAAAAAAAUUCUCGAUCUUCAUUGUUAUCCAAAAAAAAAAAAUUCAAAGAUUUUAUUCGAUUUUCUAUUCUAUAACGAAUUAGCGGUUUUACUUUCUAUCGAAUUAAGAAAUUUGUUAUUAAGUAUGUCACAAUUCACUAUCUCCAAGGUUAAAUAUGAAAUAGGAUGAAAGUUUAGAGAGUCGUAAUUUUUGACGAUUAAAACCAAACGUGACGAAUUAUACUUCGAUAUCCAGAAAAAAAAAGUUUUCCCUAUUUACUUCUAAUUUCUAUUCGCUUCUUUUCUGAUCAAAUUAUAAUAGCUGUAACUUAUUGUUAAGAAUGUAUUUUUAAAUUCAUAUUUUCUUCUUUUAAAUAUUAAUGCAAUAAUUAGUCAUGGUUUAUGAUAAUUCUUGAUUCUUUGGUUUAUGAUAAUGAUUCUUUAAAUUAAUGCGAAAAUUAUGCAUAAUUGAGUAAUUUUAAUUAGAAAAUUUAUCAUUAGUGAAAAAUUAACUUAAAUUUGUUCUGUUAAAAAUGAUUAAUUAAAGAUAUUUUAAAAAUAAUAUUUUAUUUUGGAUUCAACAAUCACAGUCUGAAUAUUUUUGCAAAUCACUUUUUUUUCUUGUUGUUUAUAAUCACAUUGUUUACAUCACAUCAAAUAUAUUUUUUAACAACUUCUGUUAUUUAAAAUUUUAUCAAAGAUCAAAAAUCUUUUUUUAAUACUUUCACAUAUUUUUAAACAAAUAACAUUCAUCCUAAAAAUCAUGGUAUAUCGCCAAUCAAAAAAACUAGGUUAUGUUAGAUUAGGUUAGAUUGAAAAACACAUUUUUAAUACAUGCAAAAUAUAUCUAUUGUUUUGUCUUCAUUUUAGACAUAAAACGUAUAAAUCAAAACAUAUAUUCAGAUUAAAAAAAAAUAUAUGCAUACAUAUAAAAAUAAAAAUUGUAUUAUGAACUAAAAACAUCGAUAUUGAGUAAAUUGGUUUCACUUUCUCUCUCUCUGUCUCUUUUUCUCUCGUAUCGAGAAAAAUAUUAGCGAUAAAAAUAGGCAGAACGACGAUUUAAGAGUCGAGGAAACGAAGGGACAAAGAACUAGUACUAUCCGUUGGGAAUCUCAUUGUUCCGUUUUUAUAAAAGAGGCUCGAGUAUAUCAUGGCCUCAUGGAAGCGGACAAUCGCGGUUUUGCAAUUCUAAAAGUGUCCACGUGGUUCGGCCAUAUCCUCGCUACGAAUCAAGAUCGCGGAUGGACGGUUCACGAUCUGACAAACGACACAACGGAAAUGAUCGUGCUCCUAUUGCUUUGCAAUUCCAACUACUUACUUUCCAUUGUGCGUUAUUAUCGUCGAUAGUUUGUACGUGGCUUAUACGAUCGUAAGGCGAGUUUUCAUGGCCACUACCGUUUUGUUCGGUCUGUUAUCGAUCGAAAAAGUAUUCGAAUCUUUUUUCUGGUGAAUAAUAUUGUGAAUAAUAAUGUGAAUAAUAAUAAAGAUAAAAAUAUGUAAAAUAUAUUUGUAUUUGUUAUUAUAUUAAAUUUUGAUCUGGUUUUCAUAGUUAUAAUAACAGUUUUUAUGAGUUAUAUUUAAUGCAUAUGAGAUUGGAGAAAAUAUUCGAAUUUGAAAAUAAUAGUAUUGAUAAAAAUAUGUAAAAAAGUUAUAUUUAUUUUGAGUAUUUUUUGAUUUAAUCCAUAAUUACGAUCGAAUUUUCAGUAUAAAUAAUAUGAUAAAAAUAUGUAAAAACUAAUUUUUUAUCAAUCCAAUGAUUAUAAUCAUGAUAAAUUUUUAUAUGUGAUUUGUAUUAGAUAUAUACAUGAUACAUGAAUCAUAAAAAUUUGAAUCUUUGCUAUAAAUAAUUGUUCAUAAUAAAAAUAUGUAUAACCUUGUUGAUAAAUUUGAUAAAAAUUUUUCCUGUAUAUUAUAUUUCAAUUAGAUAAAAUUGUAAAAUUCAAUUUAAUUAAUCGACUGAAUAUUUUUUAAUGUAAACAAAGCUUAAAUCUUUUGUCCACUUUUCAUCGAAUAAUCAAAAUGAAUUUCAACCAAUCAUCGAUUGAUGUAACACUUGUUUCCUUCAUUGCGUAAACAAGGAUAUAUAAUAAAAAAAAAUAAAUAACAGAAUAAUGAAAAUGGAAACGUAUUAAUACGUCUGAUCAUAAUAUUCUACUUAUUCUCCAUUUAUUCCAUUCACUUCGUUAGUGAUAGGUUGAAAUUACUUCGCUAAAUUAUUUUAAUAAUUUAUGUUCAAAAUAUAAUAAUUGCAAAUAACUGUAGUACCAAACGGUUGUGGUUAUACGAAAAGCGGAUCAUAAUAGAUACGAAUAAAUAUUAUUCAAGCAUUUUAAUAAGUAAUUAUUUAAAGUAAUUUUAUUCGAAAUUUUUAACUAGUUACUUUUUCAACACUUUUUAAUAUCUUUUGUUCACAGUACGAAGUCUCAAUAAUGAGACGUUAACGAGAUUGUCACAUAAGUUUAAUGAUAAAUUUCUACUUUGUUCUAUGCAUGUAAAACGAAGAACUAAUAAACAUCGAAUUUAAUUU